AAGGUAAUGGCAGCCUCUGUCUACUAUGC
rnacentral:piRNA from 1 species